rnacentral:rRNA from 1 species
UACAGAGGUCCCAAGCGUUGUUCGGAUUCACUGGGCGUAAAGGGUGCGUAGGCGGUCGGGUAAGUCUGAUGUGAAAUCUCAGAGCUCAACUCUGAAACUGCAUUGGAUACUAUUCGGCUUGAGGUCUGGAGGGGGGACUGGAAUUCUCGGUGUAGCAGUGAAAUGCGUAGAUAUCGAGAGGAACACCAGUGGCGAAGGCGAGUCCCUGGACAGGUCCUGACGCUGAGGCACGAAAGCUAGGGGAGCAAACAGGAUUAGAAACCCCUGUAGUCC